AGUGAACGCUGGCGGUAGGCCUAACAAAUGCAAGUCGAACGGCAGCACAGUAAGAGCUUGCUCUUACGGGAGGCGAGUGGCGGACGGGUGAGGAAUACAUCGGAAUCUACUUUUUCGUGGGGGAUAACGUAGGGAAACUUACGCUAAUACCGCAUACGACCUACGGGGGAAAGCAGGGGAUCUGCGGAACUUGCGCGAUUGAAUGAGCCGAUGUCGGAUUAGCUAGUUGGCGGGGUAAAGGCCCACCAAGGCGACGAUCCGUAGCUGGUCUGAGAGGAUGAUCAGCCACACUGGAACUGAGACACGGUCCAGACUCCUACGGGAGGCAGCAGUGGGGAAUAUUGGACAAUGGGCGCAAGCCUGAUCCAGCCAUACCGCGUUGGUGAAGAAGGCCUUCGGGUUGUAAAGCCCUUUUGUUGGGAAAGAAAAGCAGCAGGUUAAUACCCCGCUGUUCUGACGGUACCCACAGAAUAAGCACCGGCUAACUUCGUG
rnacentral:rRNA from 1 species